rnacentral:rRNA from 1 species
GACGAACGCUGGCGGCGUGCUUAACACAUGCAAGUCGAACGGAAAGGCCCUGCUUUUGUGGGGUGCUCGAGUGGCGAACGGGUGAGUAACACGUGAGUAACCUGCCCUUGACUUUGGGAUAACUUCAGGAAACUGGGGCUAAUACCGGAUAGGAGCUCCUGCUGCAUGGUGGGGGUUGGAAAGAUUCGGCGGUUGGGGAUGGAAUCGCGGCUUAUCAGCUUGUUGGUGGGGUAGUGGCUUACCAAGGCUUUGACGGGUAGCCGGCCUGAGAGGGUGACCGGCCACAUUGGGACUGAGAUACGGCCCAGACUCCUACGGGAGGCAGCAGUGGGGAAUAUUGCACAAUGGGCGGAAGCCUGAUGCAGCAACGCCGCGUGCGGGAUGACGGCCUUCGGGUUGUAAACCGCUUUCGCCUGUGACGAAGCGUGAGUGACGGUAAUGGGUAAAGAAGCACCGGCUAACUACGUG